rnacentral:rRNA from 1 species
ACGUAGGGUGCAAGCGUUAAUCGGAAUUACUGGGCGUAAAGCGUGCGCAGGCGGUUAUAUAAGACAGAUGUGAAAUCCCCCGGCUCAACCUGGGAACUGCCAUUGAUACUGUUUAGCUUGAGUAUGGUAAAGGUAGAUGGAAUGUGUAGUGUAGCGGUGAAAUGCGUAGAUAUGCCGCGGAACACCGAUGGCGUAGGCAGCCUACUGGGCCGGUACUGACGCUGAUGCACGAAAGCGUGGGGAUCAAACAG